GGGGGAGGUCAGGGUGGGGGAGGAGGGCAGAGAGCAUCCCAGGAAUCAAAGCUGCUGUUCUUGUUUCCCCUGACUGACUUGACCCACACUGCCUUGCCUGCCAAUGAGAAAGCCAUCCCCACCCAGCCUCUCUCGGCGAGCACCUCCCGCGGCUCUCUGGGUGAAGCUGGAGCUGUGGGUGCAGCAUCUCACCUAGGCCCCAGCAGCACCGGUGAGCCAACUCCUCACUGGUGAGUGUGCAGGGCCCCAGCCCCUGCUCCUAAAGCUUUGGUCAGAAGGAAUGUGGGAAAUCGCCUGAUGGAGCCCAGCACCUUACAGAUGAGAGAGGAUGGAGGACCAAGUGUGGUAAGUCUCCGAGUGUGCACAAAAACCUGGUCACCCCAGACCACACUCUUUUCCAUUUUGGACAAGGAACAGAGCCAGAGAAUGCAGUGGACACAGUGCAGAAAACCUCCCAUGACAUCUUCCACAUGAGACAGAGAAAAUAUGGUUGAAUGUCCACAAGACUGGCCAGAGACACGACUGAUCUAACAACCAAACUCACGGAUCACUCAUUACGUAUUAUUUUCUUAAUGCCUAGAGCAAAGUUCAGUGGUGAGUGGACCAAAGAGGGAGGCGGGGCGGCCGAGAGGAGGCAGAGUCCUAACCGCUGCCGUGCAGGCUGGACUGAAGGUGCAGCAACAGAGAUCCAAAAUUGCAAAUGACCAAGACCAACCAAAGGAAACCCAUCUGUCCCGGAUGACACCCUGAGGCAGUUGGCUGAGACACACAUUUUGGCAAGUCCAUUCUGGAUAAAGUCGUUGCUUCUCUUGAGAUGCAAGAAACUAGUGCUAUCUUGCAUAUGGGUAACUCAGAUGAAUUAGCCUGAACAAAGGGCUUUCCAGGCAGAGAGGGCAGCAGGUGCAAAGGCCCUGAGGCUGGACCAUGGGUGGCAAGUGGAAGGAAAAGCAUGUGUGGUUGGAGUCCAUGAGGCAG
rnacentral:lncRNA from 1 species